GAAAGAAAGGGAGAGAGUGAGUGAUUGGAAGUAUGAAAGGGAAAGUACAAGAGCGGAAUGAGGAUUUAGUAACGGUGGAAAAGCAUGUGACGAGAAAGUCUACGACGGAAGCGGAGGUCCAGGGCGCGUGUGUGUGUGUGUACAUAGAGGCGAGCGAUAUAGGUUUAAGGUUAGGUUAGGAAAUAUAUUGUAAUGUAGUGGUAAGCGGAGAGAAGGAGCAUGUAAGAGGUGUAAGAUUGUAACCCUAAGGGGAUCAAUAAAUUAUCAUUCCUUCAAUAACAUAUUUCCUGCACAAUAUUCACAUGGCUCAUUAAACAAUUUAGUCCAAUGUAAAAAUAUAAUAUUUAUUAAAUCUUGAAGAUUAUAA